rnacentral:rRNA from 1 species
UACGAAGGUGGCAAGCGUUGUUCGGAUUUACUGGGCGUAAAGGGAGCGUAGGUGGUUAGGUAAGCCCUCCGGGAAAUCUUCAGGCUUAACCUGAAAAGGUCGGGGGGGGACUGCCUGGCUAGAGGACGGGAGAGGAGCGCGGAAUUCCCGGUGUAGCGGUGAAAUGCGUAGAGAUCGGGAGGAAGGCCGGUGGCGAAGGCGGCGCUCUGGAACGUUUCUGACACUGAGGCUCGAAAGCGUGGGGGAGCAAAACAGGAUUAGAAACCGGUC